UAAGCAUAUCAAUAAGCGCAGGAAAAGAAACCAACAGGGAUUGCCUCAGUAACGGCGAGUGAAGCGGCAACAGCUCAAAUUUAAAAUCUGGCCUCUUGGGGUCCGAGUUGUAAUUUGUAGAGGAUGUUUUGGGUACCGCCCCGGUUUAAAUUUCUUGGAACAGAAUGUCAAAGAGGGUGAGAAUCCCGUCUUGGACCGGCGGUAGGGCCUGUGUAAAACUCCUUCGACGAGUCGAGUUGUUUGGGAAUGCAGCUCAAAAUGGGUGGUAAAUUUCAUCUAAAGCUAAAUAUUGGCCAGAGACCGAUAGCGCACAAGUAGAGUGAUCGAAAGAUGAAAAGCACUUUGAAAAGAGAGUUAAACAGUAUGUGAAAUUGUUGAAAGGGAAGCGCUUGCAACCAGACUUGAGCGCGGCGGUUCCCCCAGCCUUUUGGCUGGGUUACUCCGUCGUGUCCAGGCCAACAUCGGUUCUGGGGGUCGGUCAAAGGCCUUGGGAAUGUAUCUACCUACGGGUAGACUUAUAGACCAGGGUGUCAUGCGGCCUCCCGGGACCGAGGAACGCGCUUCGGCUCGGAUGUUGGCGUAAUGGUUGUCAGCGACCCGUCUUGAAACACGGACCAAGGAGUCUAACAUCUAUGCGAGUGUUUGGGUGUCAAACCCGGAACGCGGAAUGAAAGUGAACGGAGGUAGGAAGCUUCGGCUGCACUAUCGACCGAUCCUGAAGUUUACGGAUGGAUUUGAGUAAGAGCAUAGCUGUUGGGACCCGAAAGAUGGUGAACUAUGCCUGAAUAGGGUGAAGCCAGAGGAAACUCUGGUGGAGGCUCGCAGCGGUUCUGACGUGCAAAUCGAUCGUCAAAUUUGGGUAUAGGGGCGAAAGACUAAUCGAACCAUCUGGUAGCUGGUUCCUGCCGAAGUUC
rnacentral:rRNA from 1 species